CGCCCAUUUCUAGAGACUUUGUUUGAUUUUGGUUUUCUUGUUGGCUAACAACAAAUAUGGAAUUGGAUCUGGAUCGUGGGCAAGUCACACUGAUAGCAUCCAGUAUAUGUCUUAUGCUGACUUUACAUUUCAGCAUACAGCUAGUGACAGAACAUUUUACGUCAUGGAAGAAGCCUAAAGAGCAAAAGGCCAUAAUUAUUAUCGUCCUCAUGGCACCUUUGUAUGCUAUUGUCUCCUUCAUUGGGUUGGUCGAUUUCAUGGGAAGCAAACCCUUUUUCACUUUCUUGGAAUCUGUCAAAGAAUGUUAUGAAGCAAUUGUGAUGGCUAAGUUCCUGGGGUUGAUGUACACUUACUUGAAUAUAUCCAUAAGCAAAAACAUAGUCCCUGAUGAAAUUAAGGGAAGACAGAUUCACCACUCAUUCCCAAUGACACUCUUCCAGCCUCACACUGCUCAUUUGAACCAUCAUACAUUGAAGCUUCUCAAGAACUGGACAUGGCAGUUUGUUGUGAUUCGCCCUGUAUGCUCUAUUUUAAUGAUUGUUUUACAAAUGUUUGGAGUGUACCCUAGUUGGGUUAGCUGGACCUUUACCAUCAUUUUAAACAUAUCCGUUUCACUGGCAUUGUACUCUCUUGUGGUUUUCUACCACGUGUUUGCGAAGGAGUUGGCGCCUCACAAGCCACUAGCCAAGUUCCUGUGUGUCAAAGGAAUUGUCUUUUUCGUCUUCUGGCAGGGCAUUCUGCUUAGUGUUCUGGUAUCACUAGGCAUAAUAAAAUCUCACUAUUUCUGGCUUGAGGUGGAGCGCCUUCAGGAAGGUAUGCAGAAUGAACUAGUGAUCCUGGAGAUGGUUUUCUUCGCUAUCCUUAUGCGUCAUGCAUACAGUGCAGCGCCAUAUCGCGCAGAAGCUGUUACAACUACUUCAGAAGAUGCUACUUCUGGAGAUAAAAAGAAUGAGUGAUUAUGCAACAUGUAUUGUUGUAAAAAAAUUAUCUUCAGACAUCACUCACUUCCUCAUAUUGCUUGUAUGUUAUGUUGGAUUUGCUUGUUGAUGUUAUAAUAGAUUCCUACUACAGAUCAACUAGAACAUUUUGUGAGUGUUAAUUAGCACUGAAUCCCUUUCAUUCUGAGGCAAUGAAUACUUCAUUUGAAAUAAAACAGAGAAGCAUA
rnacentral:misc_RNA from 1 species